GACGAACGCUGGCGGCGUGCUUAACACAUGCAAGUCGAACGAAGUGGCGAACGGGUGAGUAACGCGUAAUCAACCUGCACUUCAGCGGGGGAAAACAGGUGGAAACGACUGCUAAUAACGCAUACUGAAGGAGGGGAUUGCGUCUGAUUAGCUAGUUGGAGGGGAAACGGCCCACCAAGGCGCUGAUCAGUAGCCGGUCUGGGGAGUGGAACGGCCACAUUGGGACUGAGACACGGCCCAGACUCCUACGGGAGGCAGCAGUGGGGAAUCUUCCGCAAUGGACGAAAGUCUGACGGAGCAACGCCGCGUGAGUGAUGACGGCCUUCGGGUUGUAAAGCUCUGUUAAUCGGGACGCGGUACCGGAAUAGAAAGCCACGGCUAACUACGUGCCAGCAGCCGCGGUAAUUC
rnacentral:rRNA from 1 species